AGUGAACGCUGGCGGUAGGCCUAACACAUGCAAGUCGAACGGCAGCACAGUAAGAGCUUGCUCUUACGGGUGGCGAGUGGCGGACGGGUGAGGAAUACAUCGGAAUCUACUUUUUCGUGGGGGAUAACGUAGGGAAACUUACGCUAAUACCGCAUACGACCUACGGGUGAAAGCAGGGGAUCUUCGGACCUUGCGCGAUUGAAUGAGCCGAUGUCGGAUUAGCUAGUUGGCGGGGUAAAGGCCCACCAAGGCGACGAUCCGUAGCUGGUCUGAGAGGAUGAUCAGCCACACGGGAACUGAGACACGGGCCAGACUCCUACGGGAGGCAGCAGUGGGGAAUAUUGGACAAUGGGCGCAAGCCUGAUCCAGCCAUACCGCGUGGGUGAAGAAGGCCUUCGGGUUGUAAAGCCCUUUUGUUGGGAAAGAAAAGCAGCAGGUUAAUACCCCGCUGUUCUGACGGUACCCAAAGAAUAAGCACCGGCUAACUUCGUG
rnacentral:rRNA from 1 species